CAGGCAGGGGCCAUCCUCUGCCUCCGGGGCCAGUGGCAGUUCGAGGCCGCCGCCCGCUGCCUGCCGGCGGCCCCCUGCACCUCGGCCCCGCCGAUCGCUGGGGGCGACGCCUCGGGCUGCGCGG
rnacentral:SRP_RNA from 1 species